rnacentral:rRNA from 1 species
AUUCGCGGCCUAUCAGCUUGUUGGUGAGGUAAUGGCUCACCAAGGCGUCGACGGGUAGCCGGCCUGAGAGGGUGACCGGCCACACUGGGACUGAGACACGGCCCAGACUCCUACGGGAGGCAGCAGUGGGGAAUAUUGCACAAUGGGCGAAAGCCUGAUGCAGCAACGCCGCGUGAGGGACGACGGCCUUCGGGUUGUAAACCUCUUUUAGCAAGGAAGAAGCGAAAGUGACGGUACUUGCAGAAAAAGCGCCGGCUAACUACGUGCCAGCAGCCGCGGUAAUACGUAGGGCGCAAGCGUUAUCCGGAAUUAUUGGGCGUAAAGAGCUCGUAGGCGGUUUGUCGCGUCUGCUGUGAAAACCCGAGGCUCAACCUCGGGCCUGCAGUGGGUACGGGCAGACUAGAGUGCGGUAGGGGAGAUUGGAACUCCUGGUGUAGCGGUGGAAUGCGCAGAUAUCAGGAAGAACACCGAUGGCGAAGGCAGAUCUCUGGGCCGUAACUGACGCUGAGGAGCGAAAGGGUGGGGAGCAAACAGGCUUAGAUACCCUGGUAGUCCACCCCGUAAACGUUGGGAACUAGUUGUGGGGUCCAUUCCACGGAUUCCGUGACGCAGCUAACGCAUUAAGCGC